GAUGAACGCUGGCGGCGUGCCUAAUACAUGCAAGUCGAGCGAACGGACGAGAAGCUUGCUUCUCUGAUGUUAGCGGCGGACGGGUGAGUAACACGUGGAUAACCUACCUAUAAGACUGGGAUAACUUCGGGAAACCGGAGCUAAUACCGGAUAAUAUUUUGAACCGCAUGGUUCAAAAGUGAAAGACGGUCUUGCUGUCACUUAUAGAUGGAUCCGCGCUGCAUUAGCUAGUUGGUAAGGUAACGGCUUACCAAGGCAACGAGGCAUAGCCGACCUGAGAGGGUGAUCGGCCACACUGGAACUGAGACACGGUCCAGACUCCUACGGGAGGCAGCAGUAGGGAAUCUUCCGCAAUGGGCGAAAGCCUGACGGAGCAACGCCGCGUGAGUGAUGAAGGUCUUCGGAGCGUAAAACUCUGUUAUUAGGGAAGAACAUAUGUGUAAGUAAAUGUGCACAUCUUGACGGUACCUAAUCAGAAAGCCACGGCUAACUACGUG
rnacentral:rRNA from 1 species